rnacentral:misc_RNA from 1 species
GAUGAAGAACGUAGCGAAAUGCGAUACGUAAUGUGAAUUGCAGAAUUCAGUGAAUCAUCGAGUCUUUGAACGCACAUUGCGCCCCCUGGUAUUCCGGGGGGCAUGCCUGUCCGAGCGUCAUUGCUGCCCUCAAGCACGGCUUGUGUGUUGGGCCUCCGUCCUCCUCCCGGGGGACGGGCCCGAAAGGCAGCGGCGGCACCGCGUCCGGUCCUCGAGCGUAGGGGGCUUCGUCACCCGCUCUUGUAGGCCCGGCCGGCGCUUGCCGACACAUCAAUCUUUUUUCCAGGUUGACCUCGGAUCAGGUAGGGAUACCCGCUGAACUUAAGCAUAUCAAUAAGCGGAGGA